CGGAGGGGCGUAGCGUUGUUCGGAAUUACUGGGCGUAAAGACGCACGUAGGCGGAUCAGAAAGUUAGGGGGUGGAAAUCCCGGGGCGUCAACCUCGGAACUGCCUUCAAAACUAUUGGUCUUGAGUUCGAGAGAGGUGAGUGGAAUUCCGAGUGUAGAGGUGAAAUUCGUAGAUAUUCGGAGGAACACCAGUGGCGAAGGCGGCUCACUGGCUCGAUACUGACGCUGAGGUGCGAAAGCGUGGGGAGCAAACAGGAUU
rnacentral:rRNA from 1 species